UGGAUUUCAGAAUUCCUCCUCCACGCAUUCUCCUCAGCACAUAACACCUGUCUCCGGUCCACUAAAGAGGUGGGGAGGGGCGGGGAGGGGAGGACAGAGAGAUGAGAGAGAGCAGAGAGAAGCUGGUUAAAUCUACUGGCAGAGGAAGAUACUGUAGUCCACUGAGGACAAGGAAUGAGCCUGGACUCACACAGCAAAUUCCCAGAAGUCUACGUCUUUCUUUUUCCCAAGGAAAGUCUGUCCUGCUUUACCUUCAGAUGGACCCUGAUCCAUGCCUGGCUCUCUAAACUCUUGCUGGCUCUAUGCUGCCCUCGCUGCUCAGGAGCCUGGGACACAUCUGUCCUGUCACUCUCCCUCCCUCAAUUCACUUCCCAAGGUGGCCAGGAAGAUGUUCUUUUCUUCAUGAACCUCCAAAGGCUUCCAAGAGGCUGGGGGAGUAUCUCAGUGAUUGAUAGAGCCCCCUGCCUAGAACCCCUUAGUGAGGGGCUGAGGGUGUGGCUCAGUAGUAGAGCCCCUGCCUAGAAUCCCCCAGUGAGGGGCUGGGGUUGGCUCAGUGGUAGAGCCCCUGCCUAGAACCCCCCCAGUGAGGGGCUAAGGGCAUGGCUCAGUGGUAGAGUUCUUGCCUAGAAUCCCCCAGUGAUGGGCCAGGGUGCGGCUCAGUGGUAGAGCCCCUUCAUAGAAUCCCCCAGUGAGGGGCUGGGGUGUGGCUCAGUGGUAGAGCUCCUGCCUAGAAUCCCCCAGUGAGGGGGGCUGAGGGCAUGGCUCAGUGGUCGAGCAUUGAUUGGUAUGUGCACGGUCCUAGGUUCUAGCUGCCAUAUAAACGAAUGGACUUUAGGGAAAAAAAUGGAAACUCCUAGUGCUUGGUACAGGUAAGGAAGGAGACUUUUCCCAGCUAGCCUGAGCUGCCUUACCUGCUUCUCCCUUAAGCAUUCUCCAAGCCAGUGAACUUCCUUCACCACGGAUAUAUCCUGACUGGCCUAGGACUUCUUCACCCCUUCACGAGUCUCCUCCACCCUCACAACCAUCUAUCCCUUCACAGCACUUGUAUCUUGGGGACAGGGACCUUGAGUGUCACGUGGCCUUGCACGCAGUCGUGCUCAACAAGCACCUGGGUACAGAAGUAAUUCCAGAAGCCAGGAGAGGGCAUGCCACCCUCCAGCCCUCCUUCCACCAGGAGGCUCUCCCUCUCCUCCUUCUUCACUGCACCCCAGGCAUUGACAAGUCCUGGGGAGACCCAUGGGGAAGAAGUUGCGUGCUGGGAGAUUAAAGGGCAGGACCCAUCUGCCUCCUAAUUGACUCGAAAAGGUCAGGCUGUGUCCUGAUCCCUAAAGCCAGUCCCCUGUGGGGGGUACCUAGACAUCUACCAUCUCCACCCCAGAGGUGGAAACAUCUGGGCCCUUUGGAGAUGGAAUGGGAAAGGCUUGUUCCUGGGUAAACAAAUGGGAACCAUCCCAGUCCACCGUCAAUCAAAACCUCCCACCCAGGCCAAGUCGUUACUGUUGUUGUUUUGUUUUUUGAAGACAGAGUUUCUCUGUGUAGCCCUGGCUGUCCUGAAAUUCACUCUGUAGACCAGGCUGGCCUCAAACUGAGAUUUGCCUUCCUCUGCCUCCUGAGUGUUGGGAUUAAAGGCGUGCGCCACCACCAUCCUGCCCCAAGCCAAGUCUUCACUAAACCUUUCCUGGCUGCGUCUGUCCCUUCUUUCUGUCCUUUCUCUCUCUCUUGUCUGUCUGUCUCUCUCUCCCCCUCUAUCUUCCUCUCCCUCUUCCUUUCCCUCUCUCUAUCUCUCUUUUCAUCUCUCCCUCUCCCUCCC